ACUUCCAAACCAAAAUCCCUACUUUAGAGAAGAAGCAGCAGCAGCUACAUCUCUCUCCGCUCGCCUCAGCACCGCCGUCUCCACCUCUCCAGCGGACUCCGCCGGCAUAUACUCCCUUCUUCACCGUUCCAUAUCUCACCUCCUCUUUCUUUUUCUUUAAUUUUUCUCAUCCAAUUUAACUCUUAAAUCCCAAAUCUGAGAAUCGGGGAAAUCUUAACAGCAGCACCUCCGCCACUUUCUCCGUCGAGUCCUCUCGCCCGACGAAGGCGUCGCCUUUCUCUCUCCGUCUCCCUCUCUGUUUUCUUUUCUCCGCCGGGAUUCUUCCUCUGGAGACCGCAGCGCCGCCGCCGAACAAGUGUCGGGGAGCUUCUAGCGUUGCGUACUCUCUCCGGCUCUCUUCCUUGCGCGUGGAAGCUUCGAGGUCCGCCGUCGCACCCACGCCACCAGCUUCGGCGGGCAGAGCCGCUGCCGGUGCCGCCUCUGUCGAAUCGGCGCUCCUUCCUCUCAAGCUAAGUUUCUCUCCUUUGACUCUUACUACGUUUGAGUUUCCGGCAACAACUAGGUGAUUUAAAGGCAUCGACUAAUGUUGGGAUCAAGCUUUAAUCUUGUGAUAAUUAUGCCUACUGGAAAGAGUCCUCACUCUUAUAGCAUGUUUACUGUGGAAAGAUUUUGAUGAGUUUGCUACUGUUCUUGAUAUUGAUGUGAGAAUCCUAUUGAAGUUCUAAGUUCUCAUGAUAUCUAUUAACUUGUUCUAGUGAUGCACAGGCGGUGUUGUGGAGAUUACCUUAGCUUGGGUGAAUCCUUGGGCUGCUCUCUUCCCACCACUCCUUGCUCUCCCUUCCACUCCUUGUUGUGCUUCCAAAAUUUGUGAUUUUCUAAGUAUCGAUGGGUGUGGAGGAAGGAAGGGGUAGAGUGUGGUGAAGGACAACUAGGGAGGAUCCUUGGUGUGAGAGAGAGCUAUUAUUGCUAGGCUAAACCUUGGUGUUUUAUGGAGUGGGGAGCAAGAAUCGAGCUGGAGAAGAUCCUUGAGGAUUUGGAGUUCAACUCACUUGUUGCUUUCCUCAUUUUAGUUCUCUAGUGUGAAACAACUUUUGUAAAGGAGAAUCCCUCAUUUCCAUUUAUAAUUGCAAGCAAAUGCUUGAUACUUGAGCUCUUUAGAAAGUAUUAACUGUAGCACUUUCUUUCUGCAAUGUGAUGUAAAAAGUCUUGAUAUGUACCACAUAGGCGUGUAUUCCCAAAUACACAUUUAUGUGUACGUAAAUUUCAUAUAUUGUUUCACUUAUAUAACAUUAGCACUUAAACUUGA